rnacentral:misc_RNA from 1 species
CACGUAUUCAUCCAAAAAUUUUCCAUUGAGGAAGAUUGGGAACCGGAAACCAUAGUUAGAGAGCAAGUACUUGUUGAGAAGCAAAACACCAAUGUUUGAGGAGUACCAGAGGAUGAUAAGGGAAGUAAUGAAAAGGGCUUGUUUCUUUGAGGAAGAAGAAGAUAAUGAUGACAUUGUGAUUGGAUUUGCAGGAGGUUAUGAUCUCAUCUGAGCUUCAUCAAUGGAAAAUUUUUGGAUGAAUACGUGGGUGGGUGAGAGUGAAAGUGAAAUGUGUAAUUUUUAUGCGGUGAUGCAUUCAGUCGCUGAAGCCUCGGCACCAUCUACAAAUUGUUGUCCACUUGUC